rnacentral:rRNA from 1 species
AGUGAACGCUGGCGGUAGGCCUAACACAUGCAAGUCGAACGGCAGCACAGUAAGAGCUUGCUCUUACGGGUGGCGAGUGGCGGACGGGUGAGGAAUACAUCGGAAUCUACUUUUUCGUGGGGGAUAACGUAGGGAAACUUACGCUAAUACCGCAUACGACCUACGGGUGAAAGCAGGGGAUCUUCGGACCUUGCGCGAUUGAAUGAGCCGAUGUCGGAUUAGCUAGUUGGCGGGGUAAAGGCCCACCAAGGCGACGGUCCGUAGCUGGUCUGAGGGGAUGAUCAGCCACACUGGAACUGAGACACAGUCCAGACUCCUACGGGAGGCAGCAGUGGGGAAUAUUGGACAAUGGGCGCAAGCCUGAUCCAGCCAUACCGCGUGGGUGAAGAAGGCCUUCGGGUUGUAAAGCCCUUUUGUUGGGAAAGAAAAGCAGCAGGUUAAUACCCCGCUGUUCUGACGGUACCCAAAGAAUAAGCACCGGCUAACUUCGUG